rnacentral:tRNA from 1 species
GCCAGUGUGGCUCAGUGGGUAGAGCACUGGCCUGCGGGCCAAAGGGUCCUAGAUUCGACUCUGGUCAAGGGCA